GAUGAACGCUGGCGGCGUGCCUAAUACAUGCAAGUCGAGCGAACAGACGAGGAGCUUGCGCCUCUGACGUUAGCGGCGGACGGGUGAGUAACACGUGGAUAACCUACCUAUAUGACUGGGAUAACUUCGGGAAACCGGAGCUAAUACCGGAUAAUAUAUUGAACCGCAUGGUUCAAUAGUGAAAGACGGUUUUGCUGUCACUUAUAGAUGGAUCCGCGCCGCAUUAGCUAGUUGGUACGGUAACGGCUUACCAAGGCGACGAUGCGUAGCCGACCUGAGAGAGUGAUCGGCCACAUUGGAACUGAGACACGGUCCAGACUCCUACGGGAGGCAGCAGUAGGGAAUCUUCCGCAAUAGGCGAAAGCCUGACGGAGCAACGCCGCGUGAGUGAUGAAGGUCUUCGGAGCGUAAAACUCUGUUAUUAGGGAAGAACAAAUGUGUAAGUAACUAUGCACGUCUUGACGGUACCUAAUCAGAAAGCCACGGCUAACUACGUG
rnacentral:rRNA from 1 species